rnacentral:rRNA from 1 species
CCCUUAGAUGUUCUGGGCCGCACGCGCGCUACACUGAUGCAUUCAACGAGUUUCUUCCUGGUCCGAGAGGAAUGGGUAACCUUUUGAAAGUGCAUCGUGAUAGGGAUAGACUAUUGCAAUUAUUGGUCUUCAACGAGGAAUCCCUAGUAGACGUAGUUCAUCAGACUGCAUCGAUUACGUCCCUGCCCUUUGUACACACCGCCCGUCGCUCCUACCGAUUGAAUGCUCAGGUGAGCCAUUCGGACUUUCAUCAUGCUGGCUUCCAGUUUUGAUGAAGGAAAGUCUUGCGAACCUUAUCAUUUAGAGGAAGGAGAAGUCGUAACA